CACGUAGGGCGCAAGCGUUGUCCGGAAUUAUUGGGCGUAAAGAGCUCGUAGGCGGUCUGUUGCGUCCGCUGUGAAAACUCGGGGCUUAACCCCGAGCCUGCAGUGGAUACGGGCAGACUAGAGGUAGGUAGGGGAGAAUGGAAUUCCCGGUGUAGCGGUGAAAUGCGCAGAUAUCGGGAGGAACACCGGUGGCGAAGGCGGAUCUCUGGGCCGUAACUGACGCUGAGGAGCGAAAGCAUGGGGAGCGAACAGG
rnacentral:rRNA from 1 species